rnacentral:rRNA from 1 species
GGCGACGCCGAGCGGACCCGAAAAGCCGCUCAGUUCGGAUCGGAGUCUGCAACCCGACUCCGUGAAGCUGGAUUCGCUAGUAAUCGCGCAUCAGCCAUGGCGCGGUGAAUACGUUCCCGGGCCUUGUACACACCGCCCGUCAAGCCAUGGAAGCCGGGGGCGCUUGAAGUGCGUUGCCGCAAGGCGCGCCCUAGAGCGAAACCGGUGACUGGGGCUAAGUCGUAACAAGGUAUC